CGAAAGCCUGACGGAGCAAUACCGCGUGAGGGAAGACGGCCUAUGGGUUGUAAACCUCUUUUCUCAGGGAGGAACUCAAUGACGUGUACCUGAGGAAUAAGCAUCGGCUAACUCCGUGCCAGCAGCCGCGGUAAGACGGAGGAUGCAAGUGUUAUCCGGAAUCACUGGGCGUAAAGCGUCUGUAGGUGGUUUAAUAAGUCAACUGUUAAAUCUUGAGGCUUAACUUCAAAAUCGCAGUCGAAACUAUUAGACUAGAGUAUAGUAGGGGUAAAGGGAAUUUCCAGUGGAGCGGUGAAAUGCGUAGAGAUUGGAAAGAACACCGAUGGCGAAGGCACUUUACUGGGCUAUUACUAACACUCAGAGACGAAAGCUAGGGUAGCA
rnacentral:rRNA from 1 species